rnacentral:tRNA from 1 species
GCGGGUGUAGUUUAGUGGUAAAACUACAGCCUUCCAAGCUGUUGUCGUGGGUUCGAUUCCCAUUAGUCGCCCCA